rnacentral:rRNA from 1 species
CCUACGGGUGGCAGCAGUGGGGAAUAUUGCACAAUGGGGGAAACCCUGAUGCAGCGACGCCGCGUGGGGGAAGAAGGAUUUCGUUAUGUAAAGCUCUAUUAUGAGGGAAGAUAAUGACGGUAUCUGACGAAUAAGCACCGGCUAACUCCGUGCCAGCAGCCGCGGUAAUACGUAGGGGGCAAGCGUUACUCGGAUUCACUGGGCGUAAAGGGUGCGCAGACGGGAGUGCAAGUCUGAUGUGAAAGGCUGUGGCUUAACCACAGAACUGCACUUGAAACUGUAAGGCUGGAGUGUAGGAGAGGUAAGUGGAAUUCCUGGUGUAGCGGUGAAAUGCGUAGAUAUCAAGAGGAACACCAGUGGCGAAGGCGACUUACUGGAAUGUUACUGACGUUGAGGCACGAAAGCGUGGGGAGCAAACAGGAUUAGAUACCCGGGUAGUC